UCCUUUGUAGCUCAGUUGGUAGAGCAUGGUGCUUGCAAUGCUGGGGUUGUGGGUUUGAUUCCCACUGGGGAC
rnacentral:tRNA from 1 species